UGCCAGCCGCCGCGGUAAUACGGAGGGUGCAAGCGUUAUCCGGAUUUAUUGGGUUUAAAGGGUGCGCAGGCGGAACUUUAAGUCAGUGGUGAAAUCUUGCCGCUUAACGGUAAAAUUGCCUACGAAACUACUUGGCUAGAGUAUCGGAGAGGGUAGCGGAAUUCCAGGUGUAGCAGUGAAAUGCGUAGAUAUCUGGAGGAACACCAAUGGCGAAGGCAGCUACCUGGACGAUUACUGACGCUCAGGCACGAAAGCAUGGGGAGCGAAAGGGAUUAGAUA
rnacentral:rRNA from 1 species